GUACUCUGUCUGUCUGUACUUCCAUCAGUGAGCGAUAAGACCUCCCGCUGUGUUCCUGCUGCGUUGCGCAUCAACAGCAGAAGCAGAGUUUUUGCAUAAACUAAAUUUACAGUUAUCUGUCAAGAAGAACUGGAACAAGAAAUCAUUCGACCACCAUCAAUGAAUUGAGGAGUCACUGCCUUCUGACCAUCCUGCAUUUAACAGAACUCUGCAUAAGAUUGUUUGGGAAAAAAUAGCUGAUAAAAUGUCUAGUUUGUCAAAUCAUACUGAUCAUACUGAAAUAAAUUAUUUUCAUGUGUUAGAACAGGCAUUACAAAAUCUUAUUCAGCAGAACUCUCCAUCAACCUCAGAAGCUAAUGACAUUUCUGUUCUGAGUCAAUCAUUACAAAAUGUUUUAAACAACGCUGAGCAGAAUUCACCCCCUGGUUCGCCAAAACAGACAGAAAGUCGAAUCCAAGCAUUACGUAACGAAAUUGCGGGACAGCAACAACAACAACAACAACAGUCUGAUCAGGACCGCUUAGAAACUCUUCAAAUUCACAGCACAAAUCUGGACCAGACUCCAAUCGGUCUACUUGUUAACGCUUUAAAUAAUUCAUUAUCUGAACUUAGAAACACUGCCGCUGCUGCUGCUGAUGAAAGCGCUCAAAUUAGCACACCCGACACGGGUCAAUCAACGCACCCUGAUUUAUUUAGUAUUUUAGAUGAUGCGUUAUUAGCAUUAAGAAUCGCGUGCUCCCCAGAACAAAACCAUGAACAAGACCCAGGUAUCCACCCGCAAAACACUGCCACAGUUCAGUACGAUGCCGAGGCGUCAUCUCCCGAAUCAAUGCAACCCCCUGAUCUUUCCCCGCGCCCUGUCUCCUCUCCAACUCCGGAGGCUGCAUCAUCAAACUCGGUUCCUCACAGCCACAGCGCAAUCCAGUACGGUGCGGGGAUUCACGCUACUUCACCUCCCUCCUCCUCCUCCUCUCCCACUCCAGGACCUUCAACCGGUCCGGAUCAAAAUGAAAGAUCUCGUGAAAGAUUUAAUAAUUACAAAAUCA